AAAAAGAUGAUGAUAACUAAUAUUAUACAAGAAGAAAGAGAAGAAGCAAGAAAAAAAAAAAAAAAAUAAAAUAAAAUAAAAUAACUGAAACUUGAAAUAAGUGGCGAAAGAUAUUUCAAAUUUCAUUAUACAAAAUAUUUCUUUUUUCUUUUUUUUUUUUCUUUUAGAAGAUAUAAUCUUAAUUAUAUUUUAUAAAAUAAAUUAAAAAAAAAAAUAUAAUUGUAAAAUCUUCUUAACAAGAACAAAUACAAAACAUUUUGUAUUCUUAUUAUUUCAUUAAUGAAAUGAUAAUUUACAAACUUGAUAAAAUAGAAAAAAUUAAAAAAUAAAAUAAAUCUUUACGAAUGUUAGAGAUAAUUUUUAUAUAUUUUAUUUUUUACCUAUUUAUCAAAACACCAAAAGGGAAAAAAAAAAGAAAAGGAAUAAAUCAAUAAAUAUAUAUAUAUAUAUAUAUAUAUAUAUAUAUAUAUAUAUAUUUUAUAUAUAUACAUAUUUGUCAAUUGGACAAAAUUGUUUGCUCCUUUGACACAGUAUGAAUUUUUUUUUUUUUUCUUUUUUUGCUUCUUCUCAUUUCUAUUAUCAUGAUUGAAGAAUGGAAAAAAUCUUUGGUAAUCUGAUUUUUAAUGA
rnacentral:snoRNA from 1 species